rnacentral:rRNA from 1 species
UACGGAGGGGGCUAGCGUUGUUCGGAAUUACUGGGCGUAAAGCGCGCGUAGGCGGCUUUGUAAGUCAGAGGUGAAAGCCUGGAGCUCAACUCCAGAACUGCCUUUGAGACUGCAUCGCUAGAAUCAUGGAGAGGUUAGUGGAAUUCCGAGUGUAGAGGUGAAAUUCGUAGAUAUUCGGAAAGAACACCAGUGGCGAAGGCGACUAACUGGACAUGUAUUGACGCUGAGGUGACGAAAGCGUGGGGAGCAAACAGG